rnacentral:rRNA from 1 species
AUUGAACGCUGGCGGCAGGCUUAACACAUGCAAGUCGAGCGGGGAAGGGUAGCUUGCUACGUGACCUAGCGGCGGACGGGUGAGUAAUGCUUAGGAAUCUGCCUAUUAGUGGGGGACAACAUUCCGAAAGGAAUGCUAAUACCGCAUACGCCCUACGGGGGAAAGCAGGGGAUCUUCGGACCUUGCGCUAAUAGAUGAGCCUAAGUCAGAUUAGCUAGUUGGUGGGGUAAAGGCCUACCAAGGCGACGAUCUGUAGCGGGUCUGAGAGGAUGAUCCGCCACACUGGGACUGAGACACGGCCCAGACUCCUACGGGAGGCAGCAGUGGGGAAUAUUGGACAAUGGGCGCAAGCCUGAUCCAGCCAUGCCGCGUGUGUGAAGAAGGCCUUUUGGUUGCAAAGCACUUUAAGCGAGGAGGAGGCUACUUGGAUUAAUACUCUAGGAUAGUGGACGUUACUCGCAGAAUAAGCACCGGCUAACUCUGUGCCAGCAGCCGCGGUAAUACAGAGGGUGCGAGCGUUAAUCGGAUUUACUGGGCGUAAAGCGUGCGUAGGCGGCUUUUUAAGUCGGAUGUGAAAUCCCUGAGCUUAACUUAGGAAUUGCAUUCGAUACUGGGAAGCUAGAGUAUGGGAGAGGAUGGUAGAAUUCCAGGUGUAGCGGUGAAAUGCGUAGAGAUCUGGAGGAAUACCGAUGGCGAAGGCAGCCAUCUGGCCUAAUACUGACGCUGAGGUACGAAAGCAUGGGGAGCAAACAGG